rnacentral:lncRNA from 10 species
CCAGGCACCAUGCUGGGAGAUAAGGAUCCAACAUAAGACAAACAGUGCUGAUGCUUUUGGAAAGCUCAUAUUCAAGCUGGGGAGACAAACAACAUACAAGAGGGCUCUGAGAGAUUUCAUUUCUGUCCUGCUGAUGAAGUCUACGUUCAUUCAGGGCCUGCUGUGGAAGACCAGCCCCAAAGUUGCUGAACAGAAGACUUUUGAGAGUCAGCAGAAAUCUUCCACUUUGCAUGGUUCUCUUGAUGUGAAAUCAUCUAUAUAGCCCCAGA